rnacentral:tRNA from 1 species
UGGGGCUGUAGCUCAGUGGUAGAGUGCUUGUGUUGCACACAUGAAGCACUGGGUUUGAUCCUCAGCACCACAA